rnacentral:lncRNA from 1 species
GCUCCGGGCCGCCGGCCCUCGCUUGGCGCGGAGACCUGGCUGCGAGACCAAGCGUGGCUUUGAUUCUGGCGCCUGCGUGUCAGCAGCGCGGCGUGGCCGGGAAAGCUGGGCCCCGCUCUGGGGGUCCCCCUGAUGGGCCUGAGAGGAAAACGCUUUGAAAUUGAUGGGAGCUGGGAAAGCCACUGAGAGGGACGUCCUCCCCUUGAGGCUGGCCUCUCCUCUUUUUCCGGAAGAUGCUACCCUGCACCCUUGAAACUAGAAAACCUGGUUGGAGUCUGCAAACCGCGAUGCAGGAUGUGGGCACCGAGAAAAAGCAAGAGAUCCCAGUCAGGACUUCGUUGGCCCAAACCACGCUUGAAAUCCAUCCAGGCAAGUUGGAGUAGAAACCUGAUGGAGAGACCAUGGAGGACUGCUGCUUAUUGGCUUGUCUCCCAUGGCUUGCUCAGCUGGCUUUCUUACAGCAUCCAGGACCAGCAGCCCAGGGGUGACAGAGUGAGCUGGUGCCACAGAGAGCUGGGCCCUCCCACUUCAAUCAUCAAUCAAGAAUGGAGAACAGGGGCUGGAGAGAUGGCUCAGCGGUUAAGAGCACUGACCGCUCUUCUGAAGGUCCUGAGUUCAAACCCCAGCAACCACAUGGUGGCUCACACCAUCUGUCAUGAGAUCUGAUACCCUCUUCUGGGGUGUCUGAAGACAGCUACA